rnacentral:rRNA from 1 species
AGUGAACGCUGGCGGUAGGCCUAACACAUGCAAGUCGAACGGCAGCACAGUAAGAGCUUGCUCUUACGGGUGGCGAGUGGCGGACGGGUGAGGAAUACAUCGGAAUCUACUUUUUCGUGGGGGAUAACGUAGGGAAACUUACGCUAAUACCGCAUACGACCUACGGGUGAAAGCAGGGGAUCUUCGGACCUUGCGCGAUUGAAUGAGCCGAUGUCGGAUUAGCUAGUUGGCGGGGUAAAGGCCCACCAAGGCGACGAUCCGUAGCUGGUCUGAGAGGAUGAUCAGCCACACUGGAACUGAGACACGGUCCAGACUCCUACGGGAGGCAGCAGUGGGGAAUAUUGGACAAUGGGCGCAAGCCUGAUCCAGCCAAACCGCGUGGGUGAAGAAGGCCUUCGGGUUGUAAAGCCCUUUUGUUGGGAAAGAAAAGCAGCAGGUUAAUACCCCGCUGUUCUGACGGUACCCAAAGAAUAAGCACCGGCUAACUUCGUG